CAGCAGCCACGGUAAUACGUAGGGUGCAAGCGUUAAUCGGAAUUACUGGGCGUAAAGCGUGCGCAGGCGGUCCGCUAAGACAGAUGUGAAAUCCCCGGGCUUAACCUGGGAACUGCAUUUGUGACUGGCGGGCUAGAGUAUGGCAGAGGGGGAUGGAAUUCCGCGUGUAGCAGUGAAAUGCGUAGAUAUGCGGAGGAACACCGAUGGCGAAGGCAAUCCCCUGGACCUGUACUGACGCUCAUGCACGAAAGCGUGGGGAGCAAACAGGAUUAGAUACCCCCGUAGUCCCUGUCUCUUAUAC
rnacentral:rRNA from 1 species